AAAAAAUCGCGGGAAACGGACGGCUCGCGCUUUCUCCGGCUUCAUUUAAACUUCCAACUCACAUAAGAUACAAAACAUGUCUGAAGUGCCACCCAAAAAACUGAAGCAGACUGAAUUUCUGACAUCCUUUCAAGAGAGUCCUAAAAAGGAGACUGCCACAGACAGUGAACCUGGGGAGAAGUCAGAAGCUAGUGACAAUGUUCAGACAAAAAUGGAUUAUUCGUUUAAGAAAGAAGUUGAAGAGGGACCUUCAGAACAUCUGCAGCAGG